CAUUUGGAUUUAUUGAAAUCCACAAAAAACACACUCAAAAAUUUCAG
rfam:Tupaia chinensis contig72738, whole genome shotgun sequence.